GACGGAGGGUGCUAGCGUUGUUCGGAAUCACUGGGCGUAAAGGGCGCGUAGGCGGCCUUGGCAGUCGGCUUUGUGAAAGCCCGGGGCUCAACCCCGGAGGUGCGGCCGAUACACCGAGGCUUGAGGCUGGAAGAGGAGGGUGGAAUACCCAGUGUAGAGGUGAAAUUCGUAGAUAUUGGGUGGAACACCGGUGGCGAAAGCGGCUCUCUGGUCCGGACCUGACGCUGAGGCGCGAAAGCGUGGGGAGCAAACAGG
rnacentral:rRNA from 1 species